ACGAACGCUGGCGGCGUGCUUAACACAUGCAAGUCGAACGGACAGGCCCUGCUUUUGUGGGGUGCUCGAGUGGCGAACGGGUGAGUAACACGUGAGUAACCUGCCCUUGACUUUGGGAUAACUUCAGGAAACUGGGGCUAAUACCGGAUAGGAGCUCCUGCUGCAUGGUGGGGGUUGGAAAGUUUCGGCGGUUGGGGAUGGACUCGCGGCUUAUCAGCUUGUUGGUGGGGUAGUGGCUUACCAAGGCUUUGACGGGUAGCCGGCCUGAGAGGGUGACCGGCCACAUUGGGACUGAGAUACGGCCCAGACUCCUACGGGAGGCAGCAGUGGGGAAUAUUGCACAAUGGGCGGAAGCCUGAUGCAGCAACGCCGCGUGCGGGAUGACGGCCUUCGGGUUGUAAACCGCUUUCGCCUGUGACGAAGCGUGAGUGACGGUAAUGGGUAAAGAAGCACCGGCUAACUACGUG
rnacentral:rRNA from 1 species